AUGCUUCCUGACCCCACAGAGGGUGGCCUGGUGGUGCCGGAGCCCCUGGAGCAGCGGUACCGCCUGUUCUCCCGAGCGCUGGGUGAGGGCACGCUGAACCGCCUGCUGCUGCUGCACGCCGUGAUGUCCAGCUCCCUGAGGGACGGCUCUGUUCUGAACACAUCCCCGCCGCCGCCGGAGGAGCCCAGCCGAGCCCCGCCGGACGACAGGAAGGACCUCCCGUGGGGGGCCCAGUUUGAGCUGCCGCCCAUGCUGCUGGACACGGACAGGGAUGGUUACACGUCAUCGAAAGCCACGCCAUCGAAAACGCCGGGAACGCAAGACUCCCUCCUCCCCCCGCCCUCCCUCCGCAUCCUGCUGACGCCUCCGGCUCGUGAGGUUGGUGUGUGCGGCGCGAACCUCAUCCAGGCCCCGUCAGAGCUGCUCUGGGCCAGGGGCGAGCACAGAGAAGCUUCUGGAAGGUGGUCUCUCCAUCAGCAGCCGUCACAACGGUGCUGACCAUGUAUUGAGGCCGCUAGUGUCACCGUGCUAGUGUCCAGGGGCGGCCGCUAGUGUCACCGUGCUAGUGUCCAGGGGCAGCCAGAUGAAAGCACUGCAGACCAGGCGGCGUAAAGCACAGACGUCCAUUCUCUGCCCACAGUGGAGCCGGGAGCCCAAGGUCAGCUGUCCCAGGGCCGUGCUCCCUCCAAAGGCUCGGGCGCGCCCCUGCGGCCUCUCCCAGUCCCCGCAGUCCCGGCUCCUUAGCUGGUGGCCACAUCGCUGCCUCCUCCCUGCAUGGCUGUUUCUCUUCUAAGGACACCCACUAUCGGAUAGAGGGCCCACCCUCAACCCAGAGGUCCCACUCGGAGGUCCCUGGGGGACACAGAUUGGGGGCCACCCAUUCUCUCCGCAGGGGCUGGGAGUGGUCGCUCCCCUCAACUAUAAGCAAGAGAUGAGACUAAGACGUUGAGGGGGUCCCUGUGGGACCCUGCAGCUGGGUCCGGGUCCGGGUCCGGGGCCCGAGGGGCCUCAGGUGGCCCAGGGACCUCCGUCCACGGCUGCCUUUCCCCACAGAAGUCGAGCUCCGUGAGCGGGAAGAGUCUGGUCUCCAAGCUGCGCUCCCCGGGCGGCCAGGAGCCAGGCUACCCCGCCCCGAGGACGGCGCAGGCCGGGCUGAGCGCCCAGGCGCUCCGGGAGAUGGCCGCGAGCACCCAGAGCAUCACCCGCAUCGCGGCCACGCGGCGCGCCAAGGCGCAGGACUGUGACGGCGGCAGCGGCCGCUCUUCCCGCCACCCCGCAGAGGCGGCGGCCCCAGGCUCCAGGGAC
rnacentral:lncRNA from 1 species